rnacentral:tRNA from 1 species
GGGCUGCUCGUCCAACGGGAGGACACCGGCCUUGCACACCGGCAAUCGGGGUUCGACUCCCCGGCGGUCCA